AAGUCGUAACAAGGUUUCCGUAGGUGAACCUGCGGAAGGAUCAUUAAAAAUUUUUACCAUUUUCAUAUGGAAAAUUAAAAAAAUCCAUAUCCACCUUGUGUGCACCUGUUGGAUGUUUACUUUGGGAGUGCUGUCAGUUAGAAAUUUUAAAUUAUUAUUCUUUCUUGACUGAGAGAAAGUUUUCUUUUUAAGAAACUUUCCAGCCUCCCGAAGUUUUUUUAUCUCUAAACAAACAUUUUUAAAUUUUGACUAAAAUUUUAUUAUUAAUAAAUAAUUAAACUAAUACAACUUUCAACAACG
rnacentral:misc_RNA from 1 species